rnacentral:lncRNA from 1 species
AUGUCAAAGUACCCGUCCGAUGGACAGGUAUCAUUUGUGAUCAAAUCUUGAAUCUCUCAUAAACAUUUACAUAUUGUGAAUCUGUGAUACAUACAUGGCCACAUUGUUUAACGAAAAAUUAACCCAUCAAGGAAAAAUGGAAAAAGCCUAACAAGUGGGUCUGAGUCAGAACAAAUGCAAACAUCAAGAUUUAUCAGACAGGGAUAACUGUUUUAGACAUAAGGGUGUAAGAUGGGGGACUCACCUAUUAGGUGAGCACCCCUUACACCCUAAGAUCUCAUCAUACACAACCCACAUAACAGAAAUAAUUAAAACUUAUAAAAGAUGAAAACUGUA